rfam:Triticum aestivum genome assembly, contig: Triticum_aestivum_CS42_TGACv1_scaffold_129295_2BL
UUACUGCUUCCUUCGUCUAGAAAUACUUGUCGUAGAAAUAGAUAAAAAAAUGAAUGUAUCUAAAACUAAUAUACAUUUAGAUACAUUCAUUUCUCCAACAAGUAUUUUCGGACGAAGGGAGUACUAG